ACCCUGUAGAACCGAAUUUGUGUGAGUUCAGACAGUCACAAGUACGUCUCUACAGGAAU
rnacentral:pre_miRNA from 1 species